rnacentral:rRNA from 1 species
UACGGGGGGGGCAAGCGUUGUUCGGAAUUACUGGGCGUAAAGGGCUCGUAGGCGGCCCACUAAGUCAGACGUGAAAUCCCCAGGCUCAACCUGGGAACUGCGUCUGAUACUGGAUGGCUUGAAUCCGGGAGAGGGAUGCAGAAUUCCAGGUGUAGCGGUGAAAUGCGUAGAUAUCUGGAGGAACACCUGAGGCGAAGGCGGGCUACUGGGCUGAUACUGACGCUGAGGCGCGAAAGCUAGGGGAGCAAACGGG